UCGUACAAGAAUCAUUACAAAGUUAAACUCUCCUUUCAAAAUAUUUUCUAAACACACCACAUUUCUCAAACACUUUCUCAAACAAGGAAAACAUAAGCGAGUUAAGCAAUUAAGAGCUCAUGGAUAACCAUGGAUACAAAGGGUGCUAACACCUUCCCUUUGUAUUAUGUACCUCCUGAACUCAAAAUCUAAUCAAGGUCUUUCCUGUUCUUUUCCGCCUUUCCUUAU
rnacentral:lncRNA from 1 species